ACUCCUACGGGAGGCAGCAGUAAGGAAUAUUGCGCAAUGGGCGAAAGCCUGACGCAGCGACGCCGCGUGGGGGAUGAAGGUCUUCGGAUUGUAAACCCCUUUCGGCAGGGAAGAUGGGAUGGGUAGCCAUUCGGACGGUACCUGCAGAAGCAGCCACGGCUAACUUCGUGCCAGCAGCCGCGGUAAUACGAAGGUGGCAAGCGUUGUUCGGAUUUACUGGGCGUACAGGGAGCGUAGGCGGUUGGGUAAGCCCUUCGUGAAAUCUCCGGGCCUAACCCGGAAAGUGCGGAGGGGACUGCUCAGCUAGAGGAUGGGAGAGGAGCGCGGAAUUCCCG
rnacentral:rRNA from 1 species